rnacentral:rRNA from 1 species
ACGGCCCAGACUCCUACGGGAGGCAGCAGUGGGGAAUAUUGCGCAAUGGGCGGAAGCCUGACGCAGCGACGCCGCGUGGGGGAUGAAGGCCUUCGGGUUGUAAACCUCUUUCAGCAGGGACGAACUCAGACGGUACCUGCAGAAGAAGCACCGGCCAACUACGUGCCAGCAGCCGCGGUAAUACGUAGGGUGCAAGCGUUGUCCGGAAUUAUUGGGCGUAAAGAGCUCGUAGGCGGUCUGUCGCGUCGGCUGUGAAAACUUGGGGCUCAACCCCAAGCCUGCAGUCGAUACGGGCAGACUAGAGUGCGGUAGGGGAGACUGGAAUUCCUGGUGUAGCGGUGAAAUGCGCAGAUAUCAGGAGGAACACCGGUGGCGAAGGCGGGUCUCUGGGCCGUAACUGACGCUGAGGAGCGAAAGCGUGGGGAGCGAACAGGAUUAGAUACCCUGGUAGUCCACGCCGUAAACGGUGGGUGCUAGGUGUAGGCGGUAUUCCACGCCGUCUGUGCCGCAGCUAACGCAUUAAGCACCCCGCCUGGGGAGUACGGCCGCAAGGCUAAAACUCAAAGGAAUUGACGGGGGCCCGCACAAGCAGCGGAGCAUGUGGCUUAAUUCGACGCAACGCGAAGAACCUUACCAAGGCUUGACAUGCAGGGAAAUCCUCCAGAGAUGGGGGGUCCGCAAGGGUCCUGCACAGGUGGUGCAUGGUUGUCGUCAGCUCGUGUCGUGAGAUGUUGGGU